rnacentral:rRNA from 1 species
AUCUUCCCGUGAAGAAGCGGGAAUAAAUCUAUAAGACGAGAAGACCCCAUGGAGCUUUAAGCUAGCUUCACAUCUGUUUUGUACGCCCUUUGAUUAAACAGAGCACUGCCUGCUUAGCUUUAGGUUGGGGUGACCGCGGAAUAUAACACAACUUCCGCGAUGUGCAACUAUUUUCCUAUCUAAGAAUUACUAUUCUAAGAAUUAGCAUUCUAACAUACAAUGAUCCGAUAAUCGAUCAACGGACUAAGUUACCCUGGGGAUAACAGCGCAAUCCAUUUCAGGAGCCCCUAUCGACAAAUGGG